ensembl:lncRNA
AUGCACUCAAUACUUGGUCGGGAAUCCUUUUGCAGAAAUGACUGCUUCAAUGCGUCGUGGCAUGGAGGCAAUCAGCCUGUGGCACUGCUGAGGUGUUAUGGAGGCCCAGGAUGCUUCGAUAGCGGCCUUAAGCUCAUCCAGAGUGUUGGGUCUUGCGUCUCUCAACUUUCUCUUCACAAUAUCCCACAGAUUCUCUAUGGGGUUCAGGUCAGGAGAGUUGGCAGGCCAAUUGAGCACAGUAACAGAUGGAAGCAUGAAGUGCUCCAAAAUCUCCUGAUAGCUAGCUGCAUUGACCCUGCCCUUGAUAAAACACAGUGGACCAACACCAGCAGCUGACAUGGCACCCCAGACCAUCACUGACUGUGGGUACUUGACACUGGACUUCAGGCAUUUUGGCAUUUCCUUCUCCCCAGUCUUCCUCCAGACUCUGGCACCUUGAUUUCCGAAUGACAUGCAAAAUUUGCUUUCAUCCGAAAAAGUACUUUGGACCACUGAGCAACAGUCCAGUGCUGCUUCUCUGUGGGAAAUGCGGCACCUGUAGCCCAUUUCCUGCACACGCCUGUGCACGGUGGCUCUGGAUGUUUCUACUCCAGACUCAGUCCACUGCUUCCGCAGGUCCCCCAAGGUCUGGAAUCGGUCCUUCUCCACAAUCUUCCUCAGGGUCCGGUCACCUCUUCUCCUUGUGCAGCGUUUUUUGCCACACUUUUUCCUUCCCACAGACUUCCCACUGAGGUGCCUUGAUACAGCACUCUGGGAACAGCCUAUUCGUUCAGAAAUUUCUUUCUGUGUCUUACCCUCUCGCUUGAGGGUGUCAAUGAUGGCCUUCUGGACAGCAGUCAGGUCGGCAGUCUUACCCAUGAUUGCGGUUUUGAGUAAUGAACCAGGCUGGGAGUUUUUAAAAGCCUCAGGAAUCUUUUGCAGGUGUUUAGAGUUAAUUAGUUGAUUCAGAUGAUUAGGUUAAUAGCUCGUUUAGAGAACCUUUUCAUGAUAUGCUAAUUUUUUGAGAUAGGAAUUUGGGGUUUUCAUGAGCUGUAUGCCAAAAUCAUCAGUAU